CAGAGAAAUAAGGAAGUCAAAGUCCUACCCUGAGGUCCCAACCACAUCUGGACGUGCCUGGAACUUUGGCAGAGGAAGCUGGCUGGAAAUCUGUUUGAGAGAUGAAAAAAGGGCCCCUCUGGGAGGUUAUUCUCACACUAAAAACAAAACAAGUUGGGCUGGGAAACAAAGCCUUAGUUGACAGGAGUUGGAUGAUCCGAGGCCCACAGAGCCUUGCUUUGUGGACUUUCCUGCUGAGUGACACUAAAGGGACCGCAGGCUACCAUCCGGCUUGGUAGUUCCCAGGAAAAAGAAGGUGGACUGUUCAGUGGCCACAGUGACUCCCCCAAGGCAGGCAUGUUCUGCCCUCUGAAGCAGGCUGCAACACUUCUGGGAGAUGCUCCCAAAUGGACUCCUGCCUUUCACUGGUGACAGGUUUCUAUCCAGUCUAAAAUAUUUAUGUGGCUCAGUAUCUGGAAUCCUCCUAGACGGUGGAAGAGCAGAGCAGCUCGGAAUCCUUGCACAGCCCCAUAGAGUGGAGCUAUCUUACCAAACGUUCCGUCCUCAACUGAAACACAAGUGACUCUGGUAAGGAUUGAAGAAGGCAAAGGUCCUGAGUUUUGUA
rnacentral:lncRNA from 1 species